rnacentral:rRNA from 1 species
UACGGAGGGUGCAAGCGUUAAUCGGAAUUACUGGGCGUAAAGGGUGCGUAGGUGGUUAGAUAAGCUAUCUGAUGAAAUUCCUGGGCUUAACCCUGGGCAGGUCAGAUAGGACUGUAUAACUUGAGUAUAGGAGGAGGGUAGUGGAAUUUCCGGUGUAGCGGUGAAAUGCGUAGAGAUCCGGAGGAACCCAGAGGCGAAGGCGGCGAUCCUGGCUCGGCAUCUGACGCUCAGACACGACAGCAUGGGGAGCGAACGGG